rfam:Camelus ferus unplaced genomic scaffold scaffold1683, whole genome shotgun sequence.
GGGGGUAUAUCUCAGUGAUAGAAUGUGUGUUUAGCAUGCAUGAGGUCCUGGGUUCGAUCCCCAGUUCUUCCA